rnacentral:rRNA from 1 species
GGGACAAGCCUUGGAAACGAGGUCUAAUACCGGAUAUGACUACUGACCGCAUGGUCGGUGGUGGAAAGCUCCGGCGGUGCAGGAUGAUCCCGCGGCCUAUCAGCUUGUUGGUGGGGUAAUGGCCUACCAAGGCGACGACGGGUAGCCGGCCUGAGAGGGCGACCGGCCACACUGGGACUGAGACACGGCCCAGACUCCUACGGGAGGCAGCAGUGGGGAAUAUUGCACAAUGGGCGAAAGCCUGAUGCAGCGACGCCGCGUGAGGGAUGACGGCCUUCGGGUUGUAAACCUCUUUCAGCAGGGAAGAAGCGAAAGUGACGGUACCUGCAGAAGAAGCGCCGGCUAACUACGUGCCAGCAGCCGCGGUAAUACGUAGGGCGCAAGCGUUGUCCGGAAUUAUUGGGCGUAAAGAGCUCGUAGGCGGCUUGUCGCGUCGGAUGUGAAAGCCCGGGGCUUAACCCCGGGUCUGCAUUCGAUACGGGCAGGCUAGAGUUCGGUAGGGGAGAUCGGAAUUCCUGGUGUAGCGGUGAAAUGCGCAGAUAUCAGGAGGAACACCGGUGGCGAAGGCGGAUCUCUGGGCCGAUACUGACGCUGAGGAGCGAAAGCGUGGGGAGCGAACAGGAUUAGAUACCCUGGUAGUCCACGCCGUAAACGUUGGGAACUAGGUGUGGGCGACAUUCCACGUCGUCCGUGCCGCAGCUAACGCAUUAAGUUCCCCGCCUGGGGAGUACGGCCGCAAGGCUAAAACUCAAAGGAAUUGACGGGGGGCCCGCACAAGCGGCGGAGCAUGUGGCUUAAUUUCGACGCAACGCGAAGAACCUUACCAAGGGCUUGACAUAUACCGGGAAACAUCUAGAGAUAGGGUGCCCCCUUUGGUGGUCGGGUAUACAGGUGGUGCAUGGCCUGUCGUCAGCUCGUGUCGUGAGAUGUUGGGGUUAGUCCC